rnacentral:rRNA from 1 species
UACGGAGGGGACUAGCGUUGUUCGGAUUCAUUGGGCGUAAAGGGUGCGUAGGCGGCGCGGUAAGUCGGGUGUGAAAUCUCGGAGCUUAACUCCGAAACUGCAUUCGAUACUGCCGUGCUUGAGGACUGGAGAGGAGACUGGAAUUUACGGUGUAGCGGUGAAAUGCGUAGAUAUCGUAAGGAAGACCAGUGGCGAAGGCGGGUCUCUGGACAGUUCCUGACGCUGAGGCACGAAGGUCAGGGGAGCAAACGGG